UGUACUAGUCAAGGACAUUUCCAGCUUCCCAUGCUCUGCUGGGGGCACAAGAAGCCGGGAGGGGAGGGGGCACAGCUGAGAGAGAGGAUCCAAACUGACCAAAGGGAUAUUCCAUAUCAUGUAACAUCAUGCCCAGUAUGUUAACUGGGAGGAGCUGGCUGGGGGAGGGAGGCAGCAAUCGCGGCUCGGGGACAGGCAGCGUCGGUCGGCGGGUGGUGGCUGGUUGUAUCGCUCGUGUUUCUGUGGUUUUUUUUAUUUUUUUCCUUUCCCUUCCUUUUCCAUUUUAUUAUAUGAACAUUGUUGUCAUUAUUAUCAUAAUUAUUAUAAUUAUUAUUUUAUUGUAAUUAUUAAACUGUGCUUAUCUCAACCCACAAUUUCUUUUGCUCUUCCGAUUCUCUCCCCCAUCCCACAGGGGUGGGGGGAGUGAGCGGGCGGCUGCGUGGUGGUUAGUUGCCAACUGAGGCUGAACCUCGACAGCUGUUGAAGUAGAAAAAGCAUCUCCCUAAGCAUUCAGAAAAUGAUAAACUUAUGGGAGUACACUUGAAGUUUCAUACAUCUCUAUGUACUGGAAAUAUUGUACAUCUGAGGAAAUGACAUUUAUUUCAGAAGAAGAGACACAAAUCAGGGUAGGCACUUUCUGGAGACCUCUGAAAUUCCAUCUUUUAUGCAUUUUCCUUCAUCAGAACUCUUUCAGCAUCUUGACUCCAGACUCCCUCCUUCUCUACAAUAACAUUGCAGAAGCAAGCAAAAAUGAUGGUGUUUUUCAAAAUUAAAGAAGAAAGACUGUUAAUUAUUUUUGUGUAAGGAAGGGACAGGAAGAGGGUGUUCACUUAGAGGAUUACAGAACUGCUGCAGCUGGCGGGCACCUCUGAAGAUCAUCUAGCUGACCCAUCGAAGCAGGGUCUCUUGGAGCAGGUUGCCCAGGACCAUGACCAGUCAGGUUUUGAAUAUGUCCAGGGAUGGAGACUCCAAAAACUCUUUGAACAAGAUGCUCAACUGCUUGACCUCCCUCAGAGGAAGAGGUGGAGGGUUUUUCAAUAUUUAAAUGGAAUUUACUGUAAUUGAAUUUGUGCCCAUUGCCUCUUAUCCACGCACUGGAUACCACUGAGAGGAGUCUGCCUCUGUCGACUUUAUUCCUAUCUGGUUUAUAUACACAUAUGUAUGUGUAUAUACCCCCAGCCCCUGCCUUCUCUUGUCCAGGCUAAACAAUUGCAGCUAUCUCAGCCUGUUAGCUGACAGUUAGCUAAGUCAUUGCACAAGAUUGUGUAUCAUUCUGAUAUGAUAUUACCCCCAAUUUUAUUAAUUUAAUUUUUACCCAUUAUAAACGGUGUGAAGAGACACUGUGCAGCUGCAGACAGGAUGGUAGACAAGGUUGCUCACAGAGCCCUGCGCUAGUAUCUCCCACCCAGGCUCUCAGUGUCGCUUCUGGACCUGUUCAGGCUGAACUUUCACUGGGCUACACAGGGGAGUGAGGAACCCGAGAAACAAACCCCUGUGCACCACAGGCACUUCUGCUGACAGCAGCACCUGCGCUGCCUCGUGCUCCAGCUUCAGCGUGACUCCUCGCAUCGGCGCACAGCUGCACCAUUGUCUCAGCCAGAAAGCUGUCUUGAAUAGAAAAUACAUCUCCAGGGCCCACCUUCCUGAUUUCAGUUCCUGUAGCAUUAUUUUAAUUACUGGAAUUUGUUUUGCAUUAAUUAGGUAAUUUUACUUUCUAGUUUUUUCAGUUUUAAAAUCUUUUUGACUGCUCUUAUUUUUUUCUCUUUACUAAAUGUGGGAGCAAACCGCUGUGAUAUCAAUAAACUGUACAAAAAACAGGCCUGAGAUAUAGAUCCCCAUUGAUUUUUACUCCAUCUGAACAAAAAGGCAAAAAAAGUACCUAUAAGUUUUGGCAAGUUUAAAGAGUUGACAGAAGGUAGUCUAUUGUGAAAAUGUUUCAGUGGAAGGACCAUACAUCACUUUUUUACUAAACAAGUACUAUUUUUAAUUUUCCAAAUGUUAUUGCCAUUACAAAGGAAAAUAAAUUGUAUA